GAUGAUGAUGCAUAUUGAGUACAAACAAGAUGCGAAGUCUGGCUGAUGAUGAGUUCGAACAUAAGAGAAGCAUGACGAAAGCUUUUUCAGUUUGUUAAAUUUCUUGGUGCAGGGCUGUAGUAAUGGAACAUGCAAGGAUUAGGACUCCGUAUUGGCGCUCGAAUCUAUUUUCCCUUAUCGGGCAUAAAACAGUAUUAAAAUCUUACUACCUAUUCUCUCUUCUUUUUCUUCUUUGGUGCAAUAGUGAAAAAGGCUCUUAUUGUCAUAUAUGACUCGCAUACAUGGUCAUGGUCCAUCAAUUUAUUCAUAAGAAUAUCAAAAAAAAGACUAAUUUCUUACAUGAAUUUGUUGGUGCAGGAUCAGAUUAAGAUUCCAUGUAUUUUUGUGUGUGUGUGUAUGUGUAUAUAUAGCAGCCAAACUAAUGUAAAAUCUUUAAGAAAGAAAUUGCCCUCUUUUGCGGCAGGGCGGUUAAAUGCUUCAAUUUUGUUUCUCCUCAA